CACGUAGGCGGGUCGGUAAGUCAGUUGUGAAAUCCCGGAGCUCAACUCCGGAACUGCUUCUGAAACUGCCGGCCUUGAGGGUGAGAGGGGAGGGUGGAACUUCUGGUGGAGCGGUGAAAUGCGUAGAUAUCAGAAGGAACACCGGUGGCGAAGGCAGCUCUCUGGUCCGUUUCUGACGCUGAGGUGCGAAAGCUAGGGUAGCGAACG
rnacentral:rRNA from 1 species